rnacentral:rRNA from 1 species
UACGUAGGGUGCAAGCGUUAAUCGGAAUUACUGGGCGUAAAGCGUGCGCAGGCGGUUUUGUAAGACAGAGGUGAAAUCCCCGGGCUCAACCUGGGAACGGCCUUUGUGACUGCAAAGCUAGAGUGCGGCAGAGGGGGAUGGAAUUCCGCGUGUAGCAGUGAAAUGCGUAGAUAUGCGGAGGAACACCGAUGGCGAAGGCAAUCCCCUGGACCUGUACUGACGCUCAUGCACGAAAGCGUGGGGAGCAAACAGG